AUUGAACGCUGGCGGCAGGCCUAACACAUGCAAGUCGAGCGGAGCGGCGGUCGGGUGAGUAAUGCCUAGGAAUCUGCCUGGUAGUGGGGGAUAACGUCCGGAAACGGGCGCUAAUACCGCAUACUAUCAGAUGAGCCUAGGUCGGAUUAGCUAGUUGGUGGGGUAAAGGCCUACCAAGGCGACGAUCCGUAACUGGUCUGAGGGGAUGAUUCGUCACACGGGAACGGGGACACGGUCAAGACUCCUACGGGAGGCAGCAGUGGGGAAUAUUGGACAAGGGGCGAAAGCCGGAUCCAGCCAGGCCGCGUGGGGGAAGAAGGUCUUCGGAUUGAAAAGCACUUUAAGUUGGGAGGCGGUACCAACAGAAUAAGCACCGGCUAACUUCGUGCCAGCAGCCGCGGUAAUAC
rnacentral:rRNA from 1 species